rnacentral:rRNA from 1 species
UACGUAUGGUGCAAGCGUUAUCCGGAUUUACUGGGUGUAAAGGGAGCGUAGGCGGCGCGUUAAGUCUGAUGUGAAAACCCGAGGCUCAACCACGGGAGUGCAUUGGAAACUGGCGAGCUGGAGUGCCGGAGAGGUAAGCGGGAUUCCUAGUGUAGCGGUGAAAUGCGUAGAUAUUAGGAGGAACACCAGUGGCGAAGGCGGCUUACUGGACGGCAACUGACGCUGAGGCUCGAAAGCGUGGGGAGCAAACAGG